rnacentral:rRNA from 1 species
UUGAACGCUGGCGGCAUGCCUUACACAUGCAAGUCGAACGGUAACAGGGAGCUUGCUCCGCUGACGAGUGGCGAACGGGUGAGUAAUGUAUCGGAACGUACCAUUCAGUGGGGGAUAACGUAGCGAAAGUUACGCUAAUACCGCAUAUUCUGUGAGCAGGAAAGCAGGGGAUCGCAAGACCUUGCGCUGAUUGAGCGGCCGAUAUCAGAUUAGCUAGUUGGUGAGGUAAAAGCUCACCAAGGCGACGAUCUGUAGCGGGUCCGAGAGGAUGAUCCGCCACACUGGAACUGAGACACGGUCCAGACUCCUACGGGAGGCAGCAGUGGGGAAUUUUGGACAAUGGGGGCAACCCUGAUCCAGCCAUUCCGCGUGAGUGAGGAAGGCCUUCGGGUUGUAAAACUCUUUCGGCAGGAACGAAACGGUGAGCUCUAACAUAGCUUGCUAAUGACGGUACCUGAAGAAGAAGCACCGGCUAACUACGU